rnacentral:rRNA from 1 species
CCUACGGGAGGCAGCAGUGAGGAAUAUUGGUCAAUGGCCGAGAGGCUGAACCAGCCAAGUCGCGUGAGGGAAGACGGCCCUACGGGUUGUAAACCUCUUUUGUCGGGGAGCAAAGCGAGCCACGCGUGACUCUCCGAGAGUACCCGAAGAAAAAGCAUCGGCUAACUCCGUGCCAGCAGCCGCGGUAAUACGGAGGAUACGAGCGUUAUCCGGAUUUAUUUGGUUUAAAGGGUGCGUAGGUGGGUGGUUAAGUCAGCGGUGAAAGUUGAGGGCUCAACCCUAAAAUUGCAGUUGAAACUGGCAGUCUUGAGUGAAGUAGAGGUAGGCGGAAUUCGUGGUGUAGCGGUGAAAUGCUUAGAUAUCACGAAGAACUCCGAUUGCGAAGGCAGCAUACCGGCGCUCAACUGACGCUCAUGCACGAAAGUGUGGGUAUCGAACAGGAUUAGAUACCCCUGUAGUC